AGGGCACCACCAGGAGUGGAGCCUGCGGCUUAAUUUGACUCAACACGGGAAAACUCACCCGGCCCGGACAUUGAAAGGAUAGACAGAUUAAGAGAUCUUUCUUGAUUCAGUGGGUGGUGGUGCAUGGUCGUUCUUAGUUGGUGGAGUAGUUUGUCUGGUUAAUUCCGAUAACGAACGAGAUUUUAACCUAUUAAAUAGAAUUUAAUCUUUUAAUUGCGAUUAAAUUUCUUCUUAGAGGAACAGGCGGCGUUUCAGCCGCACGAGAAAGAGCAAUAACAGGUCUGUGAUGCCCUUAGAUGUCCGGGGCUGCACGCGCGCUACAAUGAAGGCGACAGCAUGUAACAUAAACCCUCUCUGAGAAGAGCGGGUAACCAUAUGAAAAUUCUUCGUAAUAGGGACUGGGCAUUGUAAUUAUUGCCCAUGAACGAGGAAUUCCCAGUAAGCGUGAGUCAAAAACUUGCGUUGAUUACGUCCCUGCCCUUUGUACACACCGCCCGUCGCUAUUACCGAUUGAAUGAU
rnacentral:rRNA from 1 species